rnacentral:rRNA from 1 species
CAAUAGCGUAUAUUAACGUUGUUGCAGUUAAAAAGCUCGUAGUUGGAUUUCUGGAGGGAGCGUCGGCCCGUAUUUACGAGUGCGUGACGUCUCUGUCCAUCCUUGCGGGAAGGCACGGCAUUGAUUUGUUGUGUCGGAUCGCAUCAUUUACUGUGAAAAAAUUAGAGUGUUCAAAGCAGGCUUUCGCUUGAAUACAUUAGCAUGGAAUAAUAAGAUAGGACUUUGGUGCUAUUUUGUUGGUUGAGCCUAAAGUAAUGAUUAAUAGGGAUAGUUGGGGGCACCUGUAUUGCGUUGUCAGAGGUGAAAUUCUUGGAUUUACGCAAGACAAACAGCUGCGAAAGCGUCUGCCAAGGAUGUAUUCAUUAA